CGCAGCCGAGAGCGGCCCUGGGGCACAGCAGCGGGGACGUGUCACAGCCGAGGUGUCACCCAGCUCCUGCGAGUCAGCAGGCGCUGAAUUCCGUGGGAAGAGCACACGAGGAGCCUCUGGAAUUAGCCGUGCCUCCAGCUGGAUGAAGAGGGGAGUGAAUCAGGUGUGAGGGGCUCUGGCAGCCUCUGCCACCACCCCCCUGCCACCCACGGGCACAUGAGACCCCCCAGUUGAGGAGAUCCUUCCUGGACAAGUGACAGGUGCCCAAAGGAGAACCAAAAAGCCUCUGCCUGAGCCAGGGGACAGCCCUACCCUGCCAAACCCACGCCAUUCCAACUCUUUCCCAAGCCUGGAUGAUGACAAUUCCCAGCACGGUGUCUGUGCCACGCUCCGUGCUGCAUCCCAGGGAAAUGCCUGUGGUGCUUCCCUUUCAUCUCCUGCCUGGCAGCAGAUUAAAAUUUCAUCAUUCCA